rnacentral:rRNA from 1 species
UUUUCCUACGGGAGGCAGCAGUGGGGAAUAUUGGGCAAUGGAGGCAACUCUGACCCAGCAACGCCGCGUGAAUGAUGAAGGUCUUCGGAUUGUAAAGUUCUUUUCUAAGGGAAGAAGAAAGUGACGGUACCUUAGGAAUAAGCCUCGGCUAACUACGUGCCAGCAGCCGCGGUAAUACGUAGGAGGCAAGCGUUAUCCGGAAUGACUGGGCGUAAAGGGUGCGUAGGUGGUUUGACAAGUUAGUAGCGCACCUCCGGAGCUUAACUUCGGAACUACUACUAAAACUGUUGGACUUGAGUGCAGGG